CCUGGCCUUGACAUACUAAGAACUUUCCAGAGAUGGAUUGGUGCCUUCGGGAACUUAGAUACAGGUGCUGCAUGGCUGUCGUCAGCUCGUGUCGUGAGAUGUUCGGGUUAAGUCCCGCAACGAGCGCAACCCUUUUCCUUAUUUGCCAGCGGGUUAAGCCGGGAACUUUAAGGAUACUGCCAGUGACAAACUGGAGGAAGGCGGGGACGACGUCAAGUCAUCAUGGCCCUUACGGCCAGGGCUACACACGUGCUACAAUGGUCGGUACAAAGGGUUGCUACCUCGCGAGAGGAUGCUAAUCUCAAAAAAGCCGAUCGUAGUCCGGAUCGCAGUCUGCAACUCGACUGCGUGAAGUCGGAAUCGCUAGUAAUCGCGGAUCAGAAUGCCGCGGUGAAUACGUUCCCGGGCCUUGUACACACCGCCCGUCACACCAUGGGAGUUUGUUGCACCAGAAGUAGGUAGUCUAACCGCAAGGAGGACGCUUACCACGGUGUGGCCGAUGACUGGGGUGAAGUCGUAACAAGGUAGGCGUAGAUGA
rnacentral:rRNA from 1 species